AGAGAGAGACAUGCGCGCAUAUCAAUAAGCGGAGGAAAAGAAACUAACAAGGAUUCCCCUAGUAACGGCGAGUGAAGCGGGAAGAGCUCAAAUUUGAAAUCUUAAAGGGUUUCCUUUUACGAAUUGUAGUUUAAAGAAGUGUUUUCUGUUGAGGUUUUGGUAAAAGUUCUUUGGAAUAGGACAUCAUAGAGGGUGAGAAUCCCGUAUUUGACCUUUACUUUCAACUUUGUGAUACACUUUCAAAGAGUCGGAUUGUUUGGGAAUGCAGUCCAAAAUGGGUGGUAAAUUUCAUCUAAAGCUAAAUAUUGGCGAGAGACCGAUAGCGAACAAGUACCGUGAGGGAAAGAUGAAAAGAACUUUGAAAAGAGAGUUAAACAGUACGUGAAAUUGUCAAAAGGGAAGCGUUUGACACCAGUGUUGUUUUUCUGAAAAUCAAUUAAAGAACUGUUUAUGCUAAGUUGUUUAGACUUUAUCAGCUAACUGUUUAGUUUUGAGCUUUUCUUUAAUGCACUUUUCAGUUAACAAGUCAACAUCAAUUUCUUUUGCUGUAAAAAAGCUUGAGGAAGGUGGCUUGAGAUUCGUCUUAAGUGUUUAUAGCCUCUUGCCUAUGCAGUCGGAGAGAUUGAGGUCUGCAGCGUAGAUCCUUCGGGGCUAAAUGCAUUUGUGCUAAGUUAUAGCAUUUUAUAGACAACUUGUUGACUAUGAUUUGCCUUGUAGCUUACUCGCUUAUGUUAUUUUACCUACGCUUAGGAUGUUGACGCAUGAGAUAUCGC
rnacentral:rRNA from 1 species